GAGGGGCCCGCGUCGGAUUAGCUAGUUGGUGGGGUAACGGCCUACCAAGGCGAUGAUCCGUAGCUGGUCUGAGAGGAUGAUCAGCCACACUGGGACUGAGACACGGCCCAGACUCCUACGGGAGGCAGCAGUAGGGAAUAUUGGACAAUGGGGGCAACCCUGAUCCAGCAAUGCCGCGUGAGUGAUGAAGGCCUUAGGGUUGUAAAGCUCUUUCGCGCGCGACGAUGAUGACGGUAGCGCGAGAAGAAGCCCCGGCUAACUUCGUGCCAGCAGCCGCGGUAAUACGAAGGGGGCGAGCGUUGUUCGGAAUUACUGGGCGUAAAGGGCGCGCAGGCGGCCGAUCAAGUCAGGCGUGAAAGCCCCGGGCUUAACCUGGGAAUUGCGCUUGGGACUGGUUGGCUUGAGUUCGGGAGAGGAGAGUGGAAUUCCCAGUGUAGAGGUGAAAUUCGUAGAUAUUGGGAAG
rnacentral:rRNA from 1 species